rnacentral:tRNA from 1 species
CCCGUCGUUCGGGACGACGA